GGCAGCCAGGUGUCACCUGCAAGCUUUGGAUUUUCUUCAUCUAUUUCCUGGCUUCCCCUUCUAGGCUUUAUUGGGAAGUUGGACCUGAGAAUAUCACUUAUCCUACCGCUAGCACUUACUCAACAUGGCGUCAGAAGGGACUUUUCCCUCCUGACCUCACCUUCUCCUCCUCCCAAUGGAGCAAAGGAAGAUGGCAUCAAGAAAACUGUUCAAGGAAUGAGUUUUCCAUCCACAGACAGAGGACACUGCAGCAGGUAAAAGGCAAAAUAUGAGAAAAAGCCAGAGGAACCUCAGAGUUAGUGAGAACGAGGAGUUCUGAGUGGGGGAGAAAAAGUGACUCAGCAAAACCGAAGAAACAUCUGGCAGGAGUUCUCCCUUCCCUUCCAUCAUGUGAAGACACAAAGAAAAAAAUGGCCAUAAGAAACCAGGAAACUGAAUCAGGAAGCCAGUCUUUGCUAGACACCAAAUUGAUCGGAAUCAUAAUCUUGGACAUAUGGAUCUGCUGGACCAGUGGUGCCAACAUUCAGAUCAAACUGGAGCACAGAGGAGAAGCAAAGCCCAGAGCAAAGGGCUGAGGUGGGUGAGCAGAGGAGGUGAUGGGCCUUGGAAGACAGGAAUCCUGGAGCUGACAUCAUGUCUCAGUGGAAAAGCAGAUCAUCAUUUGGAAACUCAGUGGAUCUCAGGACCAGGCUAUGAUCUUCCCGACAUUGAAAAUGGCCAGAAAAUACCACUUAUUAGCCACCAAGUAUUAACUCACUUAGUGAUCCCGUUUGUGGCAGAUAGGAAUGUACCUUUUAGAGAUGGGUUAACUGAAGCUAAGGCAGUUGGACACGUUGUUCAGAAGUCACAGAACUGGACAUUAGUGGGCUAGAGCUCCACCUGACUAUUGGAGCCUUUAAGCACAACCUCAUAACUAACUACAGUGCUACACUGCCUGUCAUACUGAGUGUGCAGAAUACACACCUCCCAUGGGAACACUGGAAAAACUGCAGCAUGGGGCUGGAGAGAAGGCUCAGCAGUUAAAAGCACUGACUGCUCUUCCUGAGGUCCCGAGUUCAAUUCCCAGCAACCACAUGGUAGCUCACAACCAUCUGUAAUGGGAUCUGAUGCCCUCUACUGGUGUGUCUGAAGAGAGCAACAGUGUUCUCACUUAAAAUAGAUAAAUCCUUUAAAAGAAAUUGCAGCAUGAAUUCAGGUCCCUUUCUCUUCUACCCUCACUGUUCCCUGCCUUGUGGAGCUGUGCCUCUCUCGAGUGCCUGGCUUCAGAAUAUGGAGAUUUUCCAAAAGAGAACCAAGCCAAACCUAGCUUUAGUCAAGAAGAAAGGGCUCUUUCUUUUGCCUUGUUUCCAGUUUACUUUGUUCUUGUGUUCCUACAUUCAAGUUGCAUUCCUAUCCAGAACAGAGAAGAAAAAAUAAGUUGUACCUGAAAAUGGUUCAUUGGCCCUGAGAACACAACAAUGUCCCACAGCGGUGUCUGUUAUUCAUCGAAAUGUGGGUCACCAUCCCAACUCACCAGCUGGGGUGGGGAGGGCCUUUCAGACUUGCUAAUUAAACGGAUGAGUAUGUUUGAUGGUAAUCGGCUCCCCUUAUCAUCCUGCCAUUCCACACCACUAUUUAUCAUCGUGACACCACUACCUUGGCUCAAGAUGGGACUUGUGAUGGCGUCACCUGCACUUGCUUUGAUGUGUAUGUUCAGCGGUUCCUCCCUCCCUGAGAGCUCCAGAGGGAGUCUCCCCCAAGAAAGAUUUACUUUUAUCCCCCCCUCCUCGUGUGUGUGUGUGUGUGUGUGUGGUGUGUGUGUGUGUGUGUGUGUGUUGGAGGCUAGGGAGAGAGUGUGUCUCACAUAUGUGCGGGCACCUGCAGAGGCAAGAGUUGGAGCCUCUGAAAGUGCAGUCACAGAUGGUUGUGAGCUAUCUGAUGUGAGUGCUGGGAUCUGAACCCUUGGAACAGCAGUCUUACCCAGUCAGCCACCUCUCUGGCCCCAUAGGACUACUUCCUUGUGUCAGGCUACCUGGUGCUCUUGCUCUGUGGUCAUUCUCACAUCAUCUUUGCAGCAGCCCGAGGAAAAUGUCAUUGGUGUCUGCAGAGCCCACAGCUGAGGCCGAUCCCAGGGAAAAUAGCAUGUUCGUUUUCCCAUGCCAUCAGAGGCACUUGGGCCUUUGGUAGUCUCGUUAAGGGCAACUGCAGAACAAAGCUACUGGGAAGCAUUUGUUUUGGAGGCAGAAUGUGUCUGUGAGGGGAAUUAGGGGAAGAAGGAGAGAAGCUUAACUUUCUAAUCAAGAAGAGUGUGGAGUCUGGAUUGAACCAAACCGUAAAUAACCACAGCAAGUCUCCAAAUGCCCCCAAGAAGAGAUAAAGGAGAACUGGACAGUCGAUCGGAGAAUGUCAUCCUGCUCCCGUUUUCAUAGGUGGUGUAAGCCAGGCUACAGGCUUGUCAGUCCCAGCCGCCUUUGAGCCUAGUGAGGUCAGGAUGGUUUAUCUCGACCUCCACCAUGAUGCCUUGUGAUGAUGGCAGGUGGGUCUAAGAGCACUGCAGGUGCAGGUGCGGAUCUUUCACAGAGAAACCCACACACUCUAACUCGCCCAAGGGAAUGGCCUUCUUCCAUCUGUUUCGGCCCCUGCCUCAUCUCCCCUAAUGCCCCUGUUAGCACAGGCUUGCUCCUGGACUCCUUUAAUCUCUGAAGAUGAUGGGCACAUGAAAAUAUGGCUCCAGGAUUUUGCUGUAGUUGCUGAAGAUGAAUGUUCUAGUCUUGAUCUCCUCCUCUGCCUGUGACCUAUUGGGCAGGAUCAUAAAACGUUCUUUAGUCAGCAUUUCAAAGAAACGAUUACAGGUUAGACAUUGACUCAAAAGGUCCAGUCCUUCCUGGAGCAAAGAACACUUGAGUUAUAAUGUCAGGUUAAGUAACCUAUUUGUCAAGAUUGAACGUAAAUAUGGAAAAGUACACCUGCUCUUGACACCAAGCGGGAAAGAAGGGGUGUGUGUGUGUGUGUGUGUGUGUGUGUGUGUGUGUGCACAUGCACAGGUAUGUCCAACCAUUUGAUUUCGAGUUGAAGAUUCUCUAUCUGUAACAAGGAGACUGAGAGACUGAGACCAGGGCUUUGAUCCCAUAUUCUGUGCUCUGCUACUUAAAAUCUUGAUUUUUUUUUCUAGGUCAGAACUUACAGCUGACCCGUGCCAACUGUAUUGAAUCCUACGUCCAAGUUUAUUUUAUAGUUUUAAUUGCUGUACUGACAGUUAAUGAUUAUAAUUAGUAGUUCCUCUGAACAUACCUUCCAAAGUGACUUGUUGGAAGCAUCCAGUUGCAAACCGUAGACACGUACUGGUGUAGUUUCCUCAGCACGGAGUAUUCCCACCUUCCUGAUGGAGCUGCUGACACCAGCGGGAUGCCCUUCGCCUGGACAGUUCAUAAGCAAGUCACUGUUUUAUCAGCGAUGCCAA